UAUCAAAGUAUCAAACUCAACAUCAUGGCUCACAGCCGUAUCACGCCAUCAAACAAAUUAUAAAAUAAUUUUUUUAUAUAUUUUUCAUAAAAUAAUAUAUUUGCGGUUACUCUAAGGACAACCGAUUCUGCCAAGCACACGUUUGUCCCAACACAUGGACCAGGCAGAAAAAAUAUAUUUUCAAAACGGGUUUAGAAAAGCAAGUAUCAAAGUUUAAUGUCUCACUUAUCUCGAUAACAAUAAGUUUUCCAAUCUUGUAACGUCCAAAACACCAACUGGACAACCUCCAAUUGCCUCAAUCUCAAAGCAUUAGCUCCAAUUCACUUCUUCAAGUUUUGUGAGUAUUCAAAACCUCAUAAUCUUAAAGGAAACAAAACUGAUAAUUUCCGGUUUGUGCCUCAGGCGAUCACGACCUCCAUAUCAGUCCCAAUGUUUUAUUCAUGUUGCCACAAAUAUCCAAGAUAUAUCAUAGGGGUUGUUGUAGCAUUCCAAUACAAAGGAUGAGGAAUAUCCAUGUAGGGAUUUCGAAUUAUAUAUAUAUAUAUUUUUUUAUAUAAAUUCUCAAAUAAGACCCUUAAGGGUCCACUGUCCAAAAAUUCAAAUGUUUGGCUCCAUGAAUUCACCUGCAAAGCCAAAAUAAAAUAAUCGCUUUUGAGUACUCUUUCCUCUGCAAUUGUAAAGGCAGCAACAUUUGCUGUAAUCUAAUCUCUUCAUAAUGACCAAGUAUAGCUUUGCUUAAGCUUCUCAAAUAUUACUUAGGACCACCUCAUUCGCCAUUUUAAACAAGCACUGUAUAGUUUUAAAGUGUUAAAUAUUUACUAAUCUCUUUAACCCCUACCACUUAGGGUUAAUUAAAUAAUCUAUACAACUUCAUCUAAUAUAUACUUAUUACACUUAAUGUAACUCAGUGAAUAACUGGGGAAUAGUAUAAAUUACUUCAUAAUAAAAAAAGUCAUAUUUUAAUACGCAUAUUACCAAUAGCAGUAAUCAUGGAGUAUAAUUUAAUUAAUACCUUCUUCACGGUUUCUGAAAUUCCAACAUUGCCGAGGGUGCUUCUUGUUGAACUGCUCGACAAACAAAGUAAUACACUUUGUAAUUCUUUAACCCUUCAAAUAAUGAUUGCAAGACUAAUAUAAAUCUAUAAGCAAUACUCCAUAUUCUCUUGUAUUGCAAUCGCCGUAAAUUUCCAAAGGCCACUCUUUACCCUAGACAUCUCAUGUGGCCAGUAAUAAAAUGGUAGGG
rnacentral:lncRNA from 1 species